UACAGAGGUCUCAAGCGUUGUUCGGAUUCAUUGGGCGUAAAGGGUGCGUAGGCGGUGUGUCGCGUCGGCCGUGAAAACCUGGGGCUCAACUCUGGGCGUGCGGUCGAUACGGGCAUCACUGGAGUUCGGCAGGGGAGACUGGAAUUCCUGGUGUAGCGGUGAAAUGCGCAGAUAUCAGGAGGAACACCGGUGGCGAAGGCGGGUCUCUGGGCCGAUACUGACGCUGAGGAGCGAAAGCAUGGGUAGCGAACAGG
rnacentral:rRNA from 1 species